UUUAUUCCACAUGCUUUGGAAUCAGGAUCAGGCUUGGCUUCCUAGAAGCAAAUCUGAGACAAAGAUUCGGAUACAAGGGUAUCUUUCAAAGCUGAUCUUAGUUACCCACUGGUAAGCAAUGUGGGUACAUGAUACAGAGAAGGAAAGGUCAGCACACUAUGCCAUCACAGACAGGCGUGGAGCUCAUUGCCAUGGAAACCUCAGAACUGGCCACCAAGAAGCAAGGCCCCUACGAUCUUUAUCCCCCAGUUCCCUUUUGUCACUGGUGGAUGGCUGCCCCCAAAAUUAUCUCUGCACCACAUCUGGCCUUCCAAGAGAAAGCCACCAGGCAAAGACUCAGAGGUGUUUGUAGCUGGACACCUGGGCACAAGCCAGAACAGUGACUGCCAACCAGGCUGUUGAAUUUUGCUUCUUAUGAUGGCUUCAUCUUGACCCUAUUCACAAGGCCAAGACCUAGGGUGCUGCCAUCCACCCACUGAGGGCAACCCUUGAAAGUCAUCUGCGUUCCAUGUUGCUGUUCAGUCACUAAGUCACGUCUGGCUCUAUGCAACCCCACAGACUGUAGCCCACCAGGCUUCUCUGUCCAGGGGAUUUCCCAGGCAAGAACACUGGAGUGGGUUGCCAUUUCCUUCUCCAAGGAAUCUUUCCGACCCAGGAACCGAACCGUCAUCUCCUGCAUUGCGGAUGGAUUCUUUACCACUAAGCCACCAGGGAAGCCCAGGGGUCAAUAAUAAAACUACAGUUAAUAACAGGCAACUUUUAAGAGUGAGAUUCUCCUUGCACAGAUGAGUUUUUAAUUCUACAGUAUGUGACACAGUCUCUUGCUUUUUCGAGAUGAAAACCAGAAGCAGCAGGAGGUGUCUACAGUUCACUGAGUAUUUAUAUCAUUUAAAUUGCAAA
ensembl:lncRNA